rnacentral:rRNA from 1 species
GAGUUUGAUCAUGGCUCAGGAUGAACGCCGGCGGUGUGCCUAAUACAUGCAAGUCGUACGCACUGGCCCAACUGAUUGAUGGUGCUUGCACCUGAUCGACGAUGGAUCACCAGUGAGUGGCGGACGGGUGAGUAACACGUAGGUAACCUGCCCUGUACAGGGGGAUAACAAUCAGAAAUGACUGCUAAUACCGCAUAAGACCACAGCACCGCAUGGUGCAGGGGUAAAAACUCCGGUGGUACAGGAUGGACCCGCGUCUGAUUAGCUGGUUGGUGAGGUAACGGCUCACCAAGGCGACGAUCAGUAGCCGGCUUGAGAGAGUGAACGGCCACAUUGGGACUGAGACACGGCCCAAACUCCUACGGGAGGCAGCAGUGGGGAAUAUUGCACAAUGGGGGAAACCCUGAUGCAGCAACGCCGCGUGAGUGAAGAAGUAUUUCGGUAUGUAAAGCUCUAUCAGCAGGGAAGAAAGUGACGGUACCUGACUAAGAAGCCCGGCUAA